CAGUCGCCGCGGUAAUACAGAGGGUGCGAGCGUUAAUCGGAUUUACUGGGCGUAAAGCGUGCGUAGGCGGCUUCUUAAGUCGGAUGUGAAAUCCCUGAGCUUAACUUAGGAAUUGCAUUCGAUACUGGGAAGCUAGAGUAUGGGAGAGGAUGGUAGAAUUCCAGGUGUAGCGGUGAAAUGCGUAGAGAUCUGGAGGAAUACCGAUGGCGAAGGCAGCCAUCUGGCCUAAUACUGACGCUGAGGUACGAAAGCGUGGGGAGCAAACAGGAUUAGAGACCCGUGUAGUCCCUGUCUCUUAUAC
rnacentral:rRNA from 1 species